rnacentral:rRNA from 1 species
AUGACCAAAACUCAAGCACAGAAGCAACAACUUACCAUGAGCAGGGAGCAGUUCAUGAUGGUUGUUCCUCGUUGGUGCUAUGGAAGGCAUGACGGAUGGGCGAGUUUGGUGGAUAGGUGGGUCGGUGACGAUGCAGAGUUUGCUGCCAAGAGCAUCAAGGCCCGGGCUAACCAUGGAAAAGACGGGACACACGGCCAAGGAAACAGGAACCACUGGGCUUCAAGGCCAUGA